CAGUCCACGGGAAUACAGAGGGUGCAAGCGUUAAUCGGAAUUACUGGGCGUAAAGGGCGCGUAGGCGGCCUGUUAAGUCGGAUGUGAAAGCCCGGGGCUCAACCCCGGAACUGCAUCCGAGACUGGCAGGCUUGAGACCGGGAGAGGAGGGUGGAAUAUCCAGUGUAGAGGUGAAGUUCGUAGAUAUUGGAUGGAACACCGGUGGCGAAAGCGGCUCUCUGGCCCGGAUCUGACGCUGAGGCGCGAAAGCGUGGGGAGCAAACAGGAUUAGAUACCCCCGUAGUCCCUGUCUCUUAUACAC
rnacentral:rRNA from 1 species